GCCAUCGUAGCUUACCUAAAGCAUAACGCUGAAGACGUUAAGACGAACCCUAGAAAGUUCCGAAGGCA
rnacentral:tRNA from 1 species